rnacentral:rRNA from 1 species
CCUACGGGUGGCAGCAGUGAGGAAUAUUGGUCAAUGGACGAGAGUCUGAACCAGCCAAGUAGCGUGAAGGAUGACUGCCCUAUGGGUUGUAAACUUCUUUUAUAAAGGAAUAAAACGAGGCACGUGUGCCUUUUUGCAUGUACUUUAUGAAUAAGGAUCGGCUAACUCCGUGCCAGCAGCCGCGGUAAUACGGAGGAUCCGAGCGUUAUCCGGAUUUAUUGGGUUUAAAGGGAGCGUAGAUGGGUUGUUAAGUCAGUUGUGAAAUUUUGCGGCUCAACCGUAAAAUUGCAAUUGAUACUGGCAGUCUUGAGUACGGUUGAGGUAGGCGGAAUUCGUGGUGUAGCGGUGAAAUGCUUAGAUAUCACGAAGAACCCCGAUUGCGAAGGCAGCUUACUAAACUGUGACUGACAUUGAUGCUCGAAAGUGUGGGUAUCAAACAGGAUUAGAUACCCGGGUAGUC